CUGAGUCUGCGCGGAUCCCCCUUUUUGCCCCUGCCCUUCUCUCCAGCGGCAGGACGGUACGAACGGGGGAGGGUCACAUUCCUCAGCUUGUCCCUCCCUCCACCCUGUUACCAGGAGGGUAAAGAGUGGAGCAAAGUUACUUGAAUGAAAAUUGUUGGUCUAAGUGGUAUUUACAUACAACAUUUCUGAUACAUCUGAAAUGGAAGUAAACAAGCCUUGUCUGAAAAAUCCACCUUCAUCAUUAUACCAUUCUACCUUGAGAUGACCUUAUUACAAUUUGUUAAAGCUGUACCAGGGAAGAAGUUGUGUUGCAUCAAGAUACUGAGAAGUUGUAUUCAGGGACCACCUUCUUCAAGCCCAGAAGCAGUACAUCCCAAGAAAAAGGAAGACAGAAAAGAAUGCCAGGAGGCCUCCCUGGAUCAACAAUGAGCUCCUGGACUUCCUUAAAUGCUAAAUGAAAGAGAACAGGAAGUGGAAGUGGGAACAGUUUACCUGGGAGAACUACAAAGAUGCUGUCCAAGCAGCCAGGGAUCAGGUUAGGAAAGCUAAACCCAGAUGGAAUUAAAUCUAGUCAGAGACAUAAGGAGGAACAAGAAGAAGAAAUUCUACAGGUUUAUCAAUGAUAAAAGGAAGGCCAAGGAAUACGUGUGAUCUCUCUGGACAGAAACUGGAGACCUGGUCACAAGGGAUACAGAGAAAAGUGAGGUGCUCAAUGACUUCUUUGCCCCAGUCUUCACCGGCAAGAGCUCUAGCCACACCACCCAAACUGCAGAAGGCAAAGCAGGGAGGCUGAGGGGUCCCAAGGAGAUGGAAG
rnacentral:lncRNA from 1 species